rnacentral:piRNA from 1 species
UGAUGCUCUAUAGGUGCUUACUCUGC